UACGUAGGGACCAAGCGUUGUCCGGAAUCAUUGGGCGUAAAGAGCGUGUAGGCGGCUUGUUAAGUCUUGCGUGAAAUCUCGGGGCUCAACCCCGAGCGGUCGUGAGAAACUGGCAGGCUAGAGUGCGGGAGAGGAGAGUGGAAUUCCUGGUGUAGCGGUGGAAUGCGCAGAUAUCAGGAAGAACACCCGUGGCGAAGGCGGCUCUCUGGAACGCAACUGACGCUGAGACGCGAAAGCGUGGGGAGCAAACAGG
rnacentral:rRNA from 1 species